rnacentral:misc_RNA from 1 species
AAGACUAUAGACCUGCGGAGUACCUGCGGAAGGAUCAUUAAUGAUUGGCCUCGUGGCCUUGUCAAUUAUUAAUCCCCCAACACCUCUGUGAACUGUUUUUCGGCCCUUGGGCUGAUCUUUUCACGACACGAACACCGUGCAAUGAACGUCUUUGUUAUCUUGACAAAAUAAAACUUUUAGCAACGGAUCUCU